UGGGGAAUAUUGGACAAUGGGCGAAAGCCUGAUCCAGCCAUGCCGCGUGUGUGAAGAAGGUCUUCGGAUUGUAAAGCACUUUAAGUUGGGAGGAAGGGCAGUAAGCGAAUACCUUGCUGUUUUGACGUUACCGACAGAAUAAGCACCGGCUAACUCUGUGCCAGCAGCCGCGGUAAUACAGAGGGUGCAAGCGUUAAUCGGAAUUACUGGGCGUAAAGCGCGCGUAGGUGGUUCGUUAAGUUGGAUGUGAAAGCCCCGGGCUCAACCUGGGAACUGCAUACAAAACUGGCGAGCUAGAGUAGGGCAGAGGGUGGUGGAAUUUCCUGUGUAACGGUGAAAUGCGUAGAUAUAGGAAGGAACACCAGUGGCGAAGGCGACCACCUGGGCUCAUACUGACACUGAGGUGCGAAAGCGUGGGGAGCAAACAGG
rnacentral:rRNA from 1 species